AAUUCGAUUAGAGUUUGAUCCUGGCUCAGAUUAGAACUGCUGGCGGCAGGCCUAACACAUGCAAGUCGAACGGUAACAGGAAGCAGCUUGCUGCUUCGCUGACGAGUGGCGGACGGGUGAGUAAUGUCUGGGAAGCUGCCUGAUGGAGGGGGAUAACUACUGGAAACGGUAGCUAAUACCGCAUAAUGUCGCAAGACCAAAGAGGGGGACCUUCGGGCCUCUUGCCAUCGGAUGUGCCCAGAUGGGAUUAGCUUGUUGGUGGGGUAACGGCUCACCAAGGCGACGAUCCCUAGCUGGUCUGAGAGGGUGACCAGCCACACUGGAACUGAGACACGGUCCAGACUCCUACGGGAGGCAGCAGUGGGGAAUAUUGCACAAUGGGCGCAAGCCUGAUGCAGCCAUGCCGCGUGUAUGAAGAAGGCCUUCGGGUUGUAAAGUACUUUCAGCGGGGAGGAAGGGAGUAAAGUUAAUACCUUUGCUCAUUGACGUUACCCGCAGAAGAAGCACCGGCUAACUCCGUGCCAGCAGCCGCGGUAAUACGGAGGGUGCAAGCGUUAAUCGGAAUUACUGGGCGUAAAGCGCACGCAGGCGGUUUGUUAAGUCAGAUGUGAAAUCCCCGGGCUCAACCUGGGAACUGCAUCUGAUA
rnacentral:rRNA from 1 species